rnacentral:lncRNA from 1 species
GUGAAAUUACGCUCCAUUCUAUUAAACAAAGACAUUAGAAGUUGAAAAUAAUUCGUAAGAAACUAUUUAAUAAUGCUUUGGAGAGUUAUGCAAGGUAGCUUGUCAAUUAUCUAUGGGAACAAUCGUUCAAAGUAUACAAUAAUUUAUAACAUUGACUCAGCGAAUGAAUAAUUGAUAAAUAAUUAAUCAAGAAUCCACGACUUGCACAAAGUGUGAAGUAUUAUUUAGUGGUAAUGGAUAAUUGACCAAAUAUUGAAAAGGAGACUUAUCUUUUUUUUUUUGUGUAGGCAAUUUUGAUGGAGAUAUCUUGUGCCAGUCUGGAGGGAUUUCGAACAGGAAGGUAUCUUGUAGUUACCAGGUCCACAAGUGAGUAGAUUCCCUGGUUUAAUCCAUUUAUGAGAUGCAUCUCCCCAUUUCACUUCUUCUAGAGCUACCCAACCUAACCCUUGUACGAAUGCUCCUUCUAUCUGCAAAACAUGUUCAGGUUUCAGACACAAACGCAACACUCUUGUCUUAAUGAUUUCAAGUGGUUUUGUUUCAAGUACUUGUCCAAUAUCUAUGGCUGGGUUAAGAGAAUAUCCCAGGUCCAACUUUAUAUCGACCGUUUUUGUGUGAAAGUCACCGGUUAAUGUAUCGAUCUCAACUUCCGCAAAUGCAGCUCCGUAGGUGUAAUAUCUGAAUGGGUUUCCUUUACCGGAGAUCCAGUCAAAGCCAACAUCGGGAACAAUGUAAAAGCCAUGAGCAGAGAGGUCUAUUCGUUGAAAAUAGCAUGCACUUGCCAGCUACAUACCAAUCAAAACAAAGCAGGUUAAGAGAGUUUUAUUCAUCAAAAGGCAAAGAAUGUUUCAUUGAGUUACCUCAGCCAAGGAGUUGCCACUGAGCUUAGUGGCAAGAGGCUCCAUUCGUGCUUUAAUCUGCUCACACCGUACAUGUCAGAGCUCAGAGAAGCAGCGGUUGGUGACGCAUUUGGAACAUAGUUACAUCUUAUUUCUUAACACUUUAUAUUAUAAAUAUUACCUUGUCGGUGCUCGUCUCUGAUACAAAAACGGAACUAAGGGGAAUGUUAAAGGCAUAAGCAGCAACUUGAGAAACCUUUGUAUGCAAUCCUUGACCCAUCUCUACACCUCUAUGUGUCACCAAAACAGUACCGUCUGUGUACACAUACACAAGAGCACCUGCCUAACACCCAAAAAUUAAAAUGGAUAUAAGUAACAAAAACUCUGUUUCUUGCUUCUCAAGAAAUAGUAUUGCAAGAUAGACUUACCUGGUUCAUGAACGUUUUGGUAAAUGAUACGCCAAACUUUGUGGGAACCAUAGCCACACCACGCUUUUUCCACCGGUUGUGGCUAUUAAACUCGUCGACAUCUCUACGAGCCUUUAGAAAGUUGCAAGACACUUUCAGCUCCUUCCAGAGCUGAUGCAGUGUGCAAUGCUGAAUACACUGAGAGUAAUGUGUGAUAGAGCCUUCCACUUGAAAGUUCAUCUCCUAAAGUAACACCCAAGAAAGCAUCAAAACAUGAGAAAUAAUUCCUAUGAACUUUCAGGAACAUUAUGAUUUCUUCAGGGCUUCUAUUAAGUUCAGCUGCGAUUCUCUGGAUCCAGUUUUCGGUUAUAAGCAUGCCUUGCGGACCUCCAAAGCCUCGGAAAGCAGUGUUGCUAGGAUAGUUAGUAAAGCAAACGUUCCUCUGAUCCUCACAUGUGGAUCUCAUAGACAUUAUCAGAGUUAAACAUUGCAANNNNNNNNNNNNNNNNNNNNNNNNNNNNNNNNNNNNNNNNNNNNNNNNNNNNNNNNNNNNNNNNNNNNNNNNNNNNNNNNNNNNNNNNNNNNNNNNNNNNCACUUGAGUAGACGAUAUUCCUUAUUGUUGCAACCAUUGCAUAUUCCCCCGUCUCUUCAAUGGAAUUGUCAGAUAAUACGAAAGUGGUAAUAUAAGGGAUGGGGGUGAUGACGUUCAAAUGGGCUCAGAAACUGAACCGCACAAGACAUCCAACUUCGUAUACCGAUCCUUGUAUAUGAAUCCAUUGCACAUUCGACUGCAAGCAUAAAUCCGAAGGUAUCUAGCUCCUUGUUUGUAAAUAAGUGAGCCGUUCAUUGUGUAACACAUGCCUUUUCUUUUUAGGACAUUUAGCACAGCACUGAUGGAGAGAAAAAUCACAAUCCAACAUCCAUAAAAGGAUUGGAGACCAAUGGGAUGGGUGCAUGCGCUGCAUCGUUUUGGUAUCCCCUCAUACAAAACACCAUUCUCAUUGAAUCUGAGUAAUGCUCUUUGUGGCUGAAAUGUUGUAUUGUGUUGUCGUCUAUCACCACAUAUGGUUCUAUAUCUUCUUCUUCUUCAGGUACUCCUUCAAGCUCUUCAUGUUCCAAACAUCAUAUCUGGUAGCACAUUUAGAAUGAACAACAUAGUUAGGGCACGUCUGACAAGAAAUCCUCCACAAGUCCAGUCCCCUUCUUGUGACAAACUUCGCAUACGAGAAUUCAUAGCACCAUCACCAAGAAGCAAAGUACGAGAAACACGGUGAUCAUGUCGAUUGAUGUUAAUGACACGAGGAAGACCAAGACAGCCUUGAUGGAUCAUGAAAUCACAUUGAACACACAUGUAAGGGCUUCGAUCUCCCUUGAGCCCACAAGCAUUACAUGUGAAUGAAAGCAUCUUGGAAGAAGCUUGAGUUGGUGAUCAUGAGCUUUCAAGUUCAAAAGAGAUUGUGGUGGCGGAUUCACAACACAACGCCAAUCAAGGUGAAGUUACAAGAAAAAAAUGAUAAAACAAUUCUUUAUCAACCUUUCUUCCGCAAAGACGACAUUUACCAUCAGAAUAGUCAGGUGGUGGACCCUUGAAUAGCUUAAGAGGAUGCAAGAGUGAUAAGGGUGGUUUACCUCUGUUGAGUGCUCUAGUGCUGCUGGGUGCCAUACACAUUCCACAUGAAAGGCUACAGCAUCACAUUCAUUACAUUGGUAAUAAAAUCCACAAGAAAUCCUGCAGCAUAUGCAGAAGUCUUCCCGCAUUUUGCAGAACAGUGGAAGGCGCUCAGUUCCUUGACAAAUGUGAGCUUGUGGGGAUGCAUCUCAAAAUUUUCAAUAAUAUCUGGUGGUGGGUACUUGGCACAGUGUAGAUCCAUGUGGAAGUCACACAUCUCGCAACGAUAGGAUAGAUUUUGGAUUUUACUAUCACAUAUAUAGCAUACGUGAUCUUCUCGUUUUUCUUGAAGCCGGAGAGUGUGAUCGGGGUGAGAUGGGUGGUCGCUGAUGAAUUCAGACAGCUCGUCGCCACACUUCUUGUGCACGAAGAAAUCACAGAGUUUACAAUAGUAGCCAUCACUCUGAGGUUCAAAGCAAUCACAGCAAUCGCCUUUCCUCAUAUGAUGAUCAUUCCAAGGCGUCAUAGGAUGCUCGUGAAACAAUGGUAACAACACUCCUCCCUCAGAUUCCAUUUUGCUCUCUAGUAUACUAAAGAAGAUGAAGAAGAAGAAGGAAAGAUUGAAUAAGGGAGAUAGAUUCCUUGAAUAAUGGUGUGGUGUGUUUUCUCAAAGCUAUAUCUCUUCUCUCUGGCCACUCAAACUUAUCCCCUCUCAAGUUUCUUCUUUGUUUUCAUAUUUCGAUAAAGAAAAGGUUCCCUAUGCUUAAGUGGGGUUGUCAGCUUUGUUUUCUCUUUUACUUUUCUGGUUUUCUUUUUGCUUUUUCUCCAAAUGCGUAGUAUUGUCACUUAUCAGCUGCAUAACCGUAACGAAGAAAGAUGGUGGACGCUCAAGAAGCUAUAGUUCUGGCAGCAUUUGCCUCUUUCAGGAUAGCCUUGAUUUUUUUUCAUUAUAGUUGCAACUAUUUUGAUGACCAUGACCUAAGUUGAAGGUUAUGCAUCACUUUUGUUAUUUAGAUAGACGAUCAGCUGAGAAAUAAUUCUGGUUCAUUGUCGUCACUGUCUUUCUUGGAUAUAUCAUUAUAGAGACAUCGUUUCAGCUGUUUAAAAUCUUUCCUCGAGCAUGUUCUGAUUCAUUGAGUCCAGAGUUUCAAACCCGGGAUAAUAUAUGAAACAUAUCAAUCAGACUUUUUUUUAUAACAAACCUUUACCAAGCAUUUUACAUGUAAGACUGAGGGUUACUGUGCUCUUCGUUCUCAAGGGAAGAUAUUGCAGAAAACGUAGAGCUGAAAACAUUAGGAGAAACAAUAGUCUUGGAAGGAAAAACAGUCUCCAUUGAUAAAAAGUAGAUGAACACGGUGAUUGAUGUUAAUGACCCGUGGAAGGCCAAGACAGUCUUGAUGAAUCAUGAAACCACAUGGAACACAUAUGUAAGGGCUUUGAUCUCCCUUGAGGCCACAAGCAUUACAUGUAAAAAAAAAUCGAGUCUUGGAAGAAGAGUGAGCUGGUGAUCAUGAGUGGGGGGGUUCAAAACAAUUCUAAGGCAAAGACGACAUGUUCCAUCAAACACAAGGCAUAUCCAAGGUGAAGUUACAAGAAUAACAAUGAUAAAACAAUUCUUUAUCAAUCUCUCUUGUGUUUGGAGUUUGAUUUGGCUUUGAUGGCGACGAGGAACCGAACGACGGUGUACAGGAAACACAGAGACGCGUGCUCCUCUGUCUGAUUCGUUCGGUGGUCCGGUGAUCGAAAAUGGUUAGUGUUUGAUCCAAAAAUGGUGUUUAUCUUUGUGAUGUUUGUUGGAAUCAAUCAAAUAAAGAAUCUAAAGAUAAAAGCUUAGAUUCUUGAGGUUUAGGAGAAAUCUUAAAAGAAUCAAAUGAGAAAUGAACAUCAAAAGAGUUUAUUGAUUUAAGAUUGUAUUACAUGUAGGAUUACAAGUGUAAAUAAAUCUAAUAAUUCAUAAACCCUUUGUAAGAAGUGUUCUAAGUCUAAAAUGAAGAAGACCCCCCGUCUAAUAAGGAGAUAAUUCCUUAUUUAUAGAAGAAAGAUGACUAGAGUUUCAUAGUAAAAUGGGUCUAAUUUAUUGUCUAAUGGGCCUUGAGGUAGAAUGUAAAUCUACCCCCAACAAUAAGUCCCCCCAAGUUCGUAGAGAGAGAUGAAGUCGAUCUCUGUGAAUUUUACGAAUAGGGUUUAUUAGACAUAAACUAGACAAUUCAUGCCUAUGAUGGUUUAGGCGAGUUUACUUCGAACUUGUGCCUAGUAAAAGGCAAGUUUGCUUUAAACUCGUGCUUAGUGAAAGACGAGUUUACUUGACUCAUGCUGAGACAGAGGCGAAUUUACUGAGAACUCGUGCCUAGUAGUAGGAGAGUUUCUGUAAACUCAUGCCUUGUCAAAGAUGAGUUUUUGUAACUCGUGUCUAACAAUAAGUGAGUCUAAUGCAAUUUGUGCCUAAUAUAAAGCAAGUUGAAUUUAAACUCGUGCCUAGUAAAAAUAAGUUUACCGAACUUUGCCGACCCGAAGUCUCGUGUUGAGAUCGUGUGUGCCGAGCAAGUUAUUGGCUUGUGUGUUCGUCAGGCAUGAUGACGUAAGAAAGCGCCGGCUUGUGCUGAUUCAGACAAGUUUGUAGCUGAGAGAUCGCCAUUCCAAGCAUGAGGACAUGACAGUAGCACUCACUUGUUGAUUCUCUUUGGCUCAACGAUCUAAUCAACUCUGGUUCACAACAAAAAGCAUGAUCAGAUCAAGGUUAACCAAAAGAACCAGCCAAGUUUUGUAUAAUUGAUAAGCAAGCGAUAGUUUAACUUGUGUUAAUGCUCGGCUAUUGCAUAUGAUGUUAGUAAUUUAUCAAUUACUAAUCAUUAUGCACAGGUUGCAAACAACAAAUCAAUCAACCGUAAUUAUCUCAUAAAGGUUAUAAGAUACUUAUCUUUGAGGAUGAGCCUUGUUUGUAACUUGACAAAGAAGUUAUUGUGGACGUGAUGACAUUUUGUGCUGACGAUCUCAAUGGAUCGCUCUUAUCAGAGCUGAGAUGACGGUGAACUCAAAGCUGAUGACUUUAUCUUUGUUCCUCACUGUUGAGAGCUCGUUUCCUUUUGCAACCUCUUCUUCGUAUUUUUUUUUUUGAGAUGACAAACUCGUAUGCCGUUCAUGUUCAAAGCGGAGGUUAAGCAUGAAGCGUCGAGAGAGUACCACAGGCCUAGUGAGGAAGAUAACUUAGGGAGUGUGCAUGAGCUUGAGCCUCUUGAUCCUUGAACUUGAGCUCGAGCUUCUUGAUGGCUGACGUGCGUGCAUGACCUUUAGCCUCGUGACCGUCGAGCAAGUGAUGGAGCUUUAGGCCCGCAAGAAGCUUCGUUGAUGGAGCUUUGAAGACGUCAUGGUGAUGAAGCCAUAAGAAACCGGGUGCCGAGAUCACAUGAUCACCUCUGUUUCUCGGCGGUGUACCGGACGAGCUUGAACUUACAUUGUUGUUUGGCGUUGACUUGUGCCUAGUAAAUCACAUGACUGUUGCUCGGCGUUAACCCGCACGAUCUCAAGGCUUCUGUCGCAACAAGAGCAGUCAUCGACGAGGUGAGACGAGAUGGACCUUGAACGGAGGCACGCAAACGAGGCCUUGAAGAGCUUGCCGGUAAUGACGUGCUUGUCUAGAGAGCUUUCUUGAAGAAGCAAGACCUUGUUGGAGAGGUUGUCAUCGACAUGAUCAUAACCAAUUGAACCUUCUCCUCGUCAUGAAGGAGCUCUCCUCCUAUUCUCACGCUCAUGCCAAGGUUAAAGCCUUGUCGGGUAGAAAGAUGCGACCGAUUCCCUUGCUGUGUGAAAGCAAAGGCCAGAGCUGUCCUUGGGCUUCUUGGGAUACAGCGAUCUCGGGAUGAAGAAGAGACAGCACUUGCUACACGGUCUCGUCUUAAAGAUGAGGCAAGAACUUCCUGUCACUCGGUUUCGUCUUUAACGAAGACGAGGAGCUUGUACUAUCCCGUCAGUGGGCGAGCUUGUGUGAUGCAGUGAUCAAGCUCGUUUAUCAGACGAGAGCCAGAAAUGAGCAGGGUCUGUAAGCUUCCGAGCUGACUGGUAUGGCCUAGCCCUAGUUCACCGUAAAUUACGCUCCAUUCUAUUAAAACAAAGACAUUAGAAGUUGAAAUAAUUCGUAAGAAACUAUUUAAUAAUGCUUUGGAGAGUUAUGCAAGGUAGCUUGUCAAUUAUCUAUGGGAACAAUCGUUCAAAGUAUACAAUAAUUUAUAACAUUGACUCAGCGAAUGAAUAAUUGAUAAAUAAUUAAUCAAGAAUCCACGACUUGCACAAAGUGUGAAGUAUUAUUUAGUGGUAAUGGAUAAUUGACCAAAAUAUUGAAAAGGAG